rnacentral:rRNA from 1 species
UACGUAGGGGGCAAGCGUUGUCCGGAAUCAUUGGGCGUAAAGCGCGUGUAGGCGGCUCGGUAAGUCCGCUCUGAAAGUCCAGGGCUCAACCCUGGGAUGCGGGUGGAUACUGCCGAGCUCGAGUCCGGAAGAGGCGAGUGGAAUUCCUGGUGUAGCGGUGAAAUGCGUAGAUAUCGGGAGGAACACCUGUGGCGAAGGCGGCCCCCUGGUUGGAUACUGACGCUGAUACGCGAAAGCGUGGGGAGCAAACAGG